AUUGAACGCUGGCGGCAUGCUUUACACAUGCAAGUCGAACGGUAACAGGCCUUCGGGUGCUGACGAGUGGCGAACGGGUGAGUAAUGCAUCGGAACGUGCCCAGAGGUGGGGGAUAACGCAGCGAAAGCUGUGCUAAUACCGCAUGUGAUCUGAGGAUGAAAGCGGGGGACCAGGCAGCAAUGUUUGGCCUCGCGCCUUUGGAGCGGCCGAUGUCAGAUUAGGUAGUUGGUGGGGUAAAGGCCCACCAAGCCGACGAUCUGUAGCUGGUCUGAGAGGACGACCAGCCACACUGGGACUGAGACACGGCCCAGACUCCUACGGGAGGCAGCAGUGGGGAAUUUUGGACAAUGGGCGCAAGCCUGAUCCAGCAAUGCCGCGUGCGGGAAGAAGGCCUUCGGGUUGUAAACCGCUUUUGUACGGAACGAAAAGGCUCUGGCUAAUACCUGGGGCUGAUGACGGUACCGUAAGAAUAAGCACCGGCUAACUACGUG
rnacentral:rRNA from 1 species